rnacentral:rRNA from 1 species
CAGUAGCCGCGGGAAUACGGAGGGUGCAAGCGUUAAUCGGAAUUACUGGGCGUAAAGCGCACGCAGGCGGUCUGUCAAGUCGGAUGUGAAAUCCCCGGGCUCAACCUGGGAACUGCAUUCGAAACUGGCAGGCUAGAGUCUUGUAGAGGGGGGUAGAAUUCCAGGUGUAGCGGUGAAAUGCGUAGAGAUCUGGAGGAAUACCGGUGGCGAAGGCGGCCCCCUGGACAAAGACUGACGCUCAGGUGCGAAAGCGUGGGGAGCAAACAGGAUUAGAUACCCCAGUAGUCCCUGUCUCUUAUAA